UACGGAGGGGGGCUAGCGUUGUUCGGAAUUACUGGGCGUAAAGCGCGCGUAGGCGGCUUUGUAAGUUAGAGGUGAAAGCCCGGAGCUCAACUCCGGAAUUGCCUUUAAGACUGCAUCGCUAGAAUCAUGGAGAGGUGAGUGGAAUUCCGAGUGUAGAGGUGAAAUUCGUAGAUAUUCGGAAGAACACCAGUGGCGAAGGCGACUCACUGGACAUGUAUUGACGCUGAGGUGCGAAAGCGUGGGGAGCAAACAGGG
rnacentral:rRNA from 1 species